GAUGAAGAACGUAGCGAAAUGCGAUAAGUAAUGCGAAUUGCAGAAUUCCGUGAGUCAUCGAAUCUUUGAACGCACAUUGCGCCCUCUGGUAUUCCGGAGGGCAUGCCUGUCUGAGCGUCAUUUAUCAACCCUCAAGCCCGGCUUGCGGUUGGGUCCCGCCGUGGGCGACCACGGCGGACCCGAAAGGUAAUGGCGGUGCCCGUGGGGCCCUGGACGCAGCGAGCUUCUCGGCACGCGUCCCGGCGGUCCCCGGCGCCGUCUCCACCAAUCCACCACGCAGAUUGACCUCGGAUCAGGUAGGGAUACCCGCUGCACUUAAGCAUAUCAAUAAGCGGAGGA
rnacentral:misc_RNA from 1 species